rnacentral:hammerhead_ribozyme from 1 species
AUCCAACUGACAAGUCCCAAAUAGGAUAAGACGCACGUCCUGGAU